GCUUACGGCCAUCCCGCCCUGAACACGCCCGCUCGUCUGAUCUCAGAAGCUACGCAGGGUCGGGUCUAGUUAGUAACUGGAUGGGAGACCACUUGGGAAUAACCAGGUGCUGUAAGCU
rnacentral:rRNA from 1 species